rnacentral:rRNA from 1 species
ACGAACGCUGGCGGCGUGCUUAACACAUGCAAGUCGAACGGUGAUGGCCAGCUUGCUGGUCUGAUCAGUGGCGAACGGGUGAGUAACACGUGAGCAACCUGCCCUUGACUCUGGGAUAACCACGGGAAACGGUGGCUAAUACCGGAUACGAGACGCACACGCAUGUGUGGCGUCUGGAAAGAUUUAUCGGUCAAGGAUGGGCUCGCGGCCUAUCAGCUUGUUGGUGGGGUAAUGGCCUACCAAGGCGACGACGGGUAGCCGGCCUGAGAGGGCGACCGGCCACACUGGGACUGAGACACGGCCCAGACUCCUACGGGAGGCAGCAGUGGGGAAUAUUGCACAAUGGGCGCAAGCCUGAUGCAGCGACGCCGCGUGAGGGAUGACGGCCUUCGGGUUGUAAACCCCUUUCAGCAGGGAAGAAGCGCAAGUGACGGUACCUGCAGAAGAAGCGCCGGCUAACUACGU